UUAGGGGGGCGGAUGGGUUUGCGAGGGAGUCAAACAAACUCGAGGUGCGGCUGUGUAUCCUCCAAAUUCACGUUCUUGCAAUUUAAUCGAUUCUGCCGCGAAACGCAGCGCCACCCUCUGUUCAUUUUUUGGUUGGACGACUGUUAAUUUUCUCGCCUGAUCCACGCCCACCGGACAAAUUAUCCCAUCUCAAUCCAGCGAAAACCCUAGUCGAUUUCAUUUCAGGCAUUGUAUCUGAGGUUGAAGAAAGAGGAAUAGCAGUUGAAUUUUUUUGUUGUUAGCUUUGUGGAAUGGCAGAUAAAUCGUGUAUCAAGAGGCUUCAGAAGGAAUAUAGAGCUCUUUGUAAAGAGCCUGUUUCCCACAUUGUUGCUCGUCCUUCUCCCAGCGACAUUCUUGAGUGGCAUUAUGUUCUGGAGGGAAGUGAGGGAACUCCUUUUGCAGGAGGGUUCUACCAUGGAAAAAUUAAAUUUCCUCCAGAAUAUCCAUACAAGCCUCCGGGAAUCAGCAUGAUCACCCCAAAUGGUCGGUUCAUGACACAGAAGAAAAUUUGCUUAUCCAUGAGUGACUUUCACCCAGAAAGUUGGAAUCCUAUGUGGUCCGUGUCUAGCAUACUAACCGGGCUUCUUUCAUUCAUGAUGGACAACAGUCCUACUACUGGAAGCGUGAAUACUACUGCUGCUGAGAAGGAACGCUUGGCAAAGGCUUCUCUUGCAUUCAAUUGUAAAAACCCAACAUUCAGAAAACUGUUUCCUGAGUACGUGGAGAAAUACAACGAGCAGCACCAAUCAGAGCAGCUUGUUGCAGAACAGGCUUCAUCAAGGCCAUCCGAGGAAGGCAAAGCUAGGCACAUAAUGGAGAAGAUCAAGUCCAGGGAAGAGGAGAACAUUAACAAAGCAGCAGCAGAUAGAGAGGACAUGAAAAGAAAUCGAAAGCAGUCGUUCCCUACAUGGAUGAUGUUGUUACUCUUCUCGAUCUUCGGCGUCUUAAUGGCAUUGCCUCUCCUUCAACCAUGAAACCAUAAAAUGGAAGGUUGCAUGCAUAGAUUGAAGAGAGCUCCUCGGAGUGCCCAGAGUUUCGCCGUGUUUUGCGCUCCUCUGCUUUUUCAAUCCCCAUGGGCCAUAAUCCAUUUUUCUAUAUUACUUUUCUCUCAAGCUUUUCGGUUCGGUUCCAGAACACGUUUGAGAGUGAUGUUGAAAUGGUUAAAUUUUAACGUCUUUUAUUAUUUUGAAUUAGUUUAAUAUUUGAUAUCGCUUAUGGUUGAAGGCAUUAAAACGCUCGAUCUCUCAAUUAUAGUGCUACGAAAACAGAGAUAUCGUGUAAAUCAUUACACUUUAUAUCAACUUGUGUUAAUUGCAGUAAUUAAGAGCAGAAUAGAAAUAGGGUUACCCAUGUUUAUGUGAAUUAAUAUCAAAUUAUGUGUGUUAAUACCCAGCGAAGCGACAGGCUCUGUUUACUGUAAUGAAAGCAUGAGAUAGACGUUGAGUGCUAACAAAUUUAUUACUUUCCCAUUUCCUUGAACAUCAGUCCUUGAUUUCUUAGAAGCUGUCUAUUGAAUGCCACUUUUGGAAACAUAACAAGGCGCCAUUGGAUCCCAAAUGGGGUUCUUCUUCAAUGGCGGUAGUUGGAGUUUCCUUCCCCCUUUUCAUUUAGAUGCAUAACAGCUUCCUGUUCUUCUAUUUACCUCUUUUGAAGCUACGAUUUUUGGAUGUGCUUUGUUCAAUGAAGAACUCUGUUUGUUCUGAUUGUGAGAUGGACGAUCCUGUUUUUGAUGAUUUUGAUCCUCACCUCAACUUUUCCAAGUUCUUGGAAGAAGCAAAACAUCAUGCCACAGAACAAGAAACAGGAGCCAAAUGGUUGCCACCACA